AACGAACGCUGGCGGCAGGCUUAACACAUGCAAGUCGAACGGGUGUAGCAAUACAUCAGUGGCAGACGGGUGAGUAACACGUGGGAACCUUCCUAGGGGUACGGAACAACUCAGGGAAACUUGAGCUAAUACCGUAUACGUCCGUGAGGAGAAAGAUUUAUCGCCCUUAGACGGGCCCGCGUCGGAUUAGGUAGUUGGUGGGGUAACGGCCUACCAAGCCUACGAUCCGUAGCUGAUCUGAGAGGAUGAUCAGCCACACUGGGACUGAGACACGGCCCAGACUCCUACGGGAGGCAGCAGUGGGGAAUUUUGGACAAUGGGCGCAAGCCUGAUCCAGCAAUGCCGCGUGUGUGAAGAAGGCCUGCGGGUUGUAAAGCACUUUCAGUGGGAAGAACAGGCCUGGGCUAAUACCCAGGUGUCUGACGUUACCCACAGAAGAAGCACCGGCUAACUCCGUGCCAGCAGCCGCGGU
rnacentral:rRNA from 1 species